CUAUAAUUGUCAGCUAAGUGGCGCACGGGUGAGUAAUGUAUAGAUAACCUGCCCUUAAGAAAGGAAUAACAGUUGGAAACGACUGCUAAUGCCCUAUAUGCCUUUAAUACAUAAGUAUGCAAGGGAAACGCUUUAGUGCUUAAGGAUGGGUCUGUAUGGUAUCAGCUUGUUGGUGAGGUAAUGGCUCACCAAGGCUAUGACGCCUAACUGGUUUGAGAGGAUGAUCAGUCACACUGGAACUGAGACACGGUCCAGACUCCUACGGGAGGCAGCAGUGGGGAAUAUUGCACAAUGGACGAAAGUCUGAUGCAGCAACGCCGCGUGGAGGAUGACACAUUUAGGUGCGUAAACUCCUUUUAUAUAGGAAGAUAAUGACGGUACUAUAUGAAUAAGCACCGGCUAACUCCGUGCCAGCAGCCGCGGUAAUACGGAGGGUGCAAGCGUUACUCGGAAUCACUGGGCGUAAAGAGCGUGUAGGCGGGUAUAUAAGUCAGAAGUGAAAUCCAAUAGCUCAACUAUUGAACUGCUUUUGAAACUGUAUACCUAGAAUGUGGGAGAGGCAGAUGGAAUUUCUGGUGUAGGGGUAAAAUCCGUAGAGAUCAGAAGGAAUACCGAUUGCGAAGGCGAUCUACUGGAACAUUAUUGACGCUGAGACGCGAAAGCGUGGGGAGCAAACAGGAUUAGAUACCCUGGUAGUCCACGCCCUAAACGAUGUACACUAGUUGUUGUGAGGCUCGACCUUGCAGUAAUGCAGUUAACACAUUAAGUGUACCGCCUGGGGAGUACGGUCGCAAGAUUAAA
rnacentral:rRNA from 1 species